GCAAACUUGGUCAUUUAGAGGAAGUAAAAGUCGUAACAAGGUCUCCGUUGGUGAACCAGCGGAGGGAUCAUUACAAAAAUGAGUAGCAAUACUCUCUAACCCCUAUGUGAACUAUACCUAUUCUUUCUGUUGCUUCGGUAGGCAGUCCCUGGGAGGGACUCGCGAGGCCUGGCGGUUUAAACCAGGCGCCUGCCGGAGGGACGCAACCCCCAAACUCUUGUUGUCUCGCAGUGGAAAUUCUGAGUAACUAGACAAAUAAAUCAAAACUUUCAACAACGGAUCUCUUGGUUCUGGCAUCGAUGAAGAACGCAGC
rnacentral:misc_RNA from 1 species